GGAAGAACCUUGUUAAAUGGACAGGGAUAACUACUGGAGGUGACAGAAGACACGUGCAGGUUUCAGGAAGGACAGCAGAACUGCCGGUAAAUACGAACCUACCCUUCCCAUUGCAGGUUCGGCGUUUGUGCCCUACCCUUGCCUGCCCAGCCUUCCUUCCCCCUCACACUCGCUGCUACCCACUGACCGAGGCGCUGAGCAGAAGUAGCAAUUGCUUACCGGCCUGCAGCCCGGCCCCGAGGCUCCCAGCCCUGCCAGCCCCGGCCCACCACACUCCUCUUGCCGGGGCACCUCUCUAAUCACCCCCCAGCCCGGGGAGGGAGCACUGACUGGGGUGGCCCGGCCGCAGGGUGAAGUCACCCGGUGACCCUGUCACCAAAAGGCCUCACCGUUUUUGGCAAGCCCAGCAGAACAGGGAUUCCCAACUGCUCAGCUCCUUCCAAGGCAAAGCUCCCUGGCUGGGAAAGGCCUCUGGUACAGUGUAUCCCACUGUCACCGCUUCAGAGCGAUCCACUGAGCUGGGAUUGGAACACACUGUGGAAGUGAUCCCACUCCUGACACCCUGCCAGCUAUCACAAGAUGCACAUUCACAGCUGCAAUAUAAUGUGGUUUCACUGAAGUCAGUAAUCUUAGGACCAGAUUCUCAAACCGAGAUCCAGCAGACAUUUGCAGGAAACAUAUCCCCUGUCUUGUAGAGCUCAUAGUCCUCAAUCCUUUCUGGAGGAGACUUCCUCUCCUACCAGCAAGGAUCAACUGCCGACAUCACCUGCUACUUUUCCUCCAUGCCUUAAGUGCUCAUCUCAACGCAGAACACAUCAAUUCCCAGAUCUGGAAGUCUUAAGCCCUCAGUUCUCGCUUAUUAGGGCUCCUAAUCACUGGGCUGUUCUCAUGGGGAAAAAUCCCCACCCCACCCCUCCUUUGAAGGCAUUUCACUUUGCAUAAAAAUGCACUAGGCCGGGGGAAGGAGAAGGAAGGAACGAGACUAUUAAGUCUGCUGGUUGCGGUGCUUGCCAAAGCCUGGAGCUCCCAUCUCCCAGUCAGCGCUCAGAAGCAGAUUUAAUCAGGUUCCCACCAAGUCUUCCUUCACUCAAGAGAAAAAACGUUCUGCACGAAAAAGAGGUAACACUUUCAACUAUUCCUUUGCAUCCUAGAUGGUAAUUACAGAAUUGGAUACUCGUCUAUUCAGGUAAAACAGCGAUGCAACACUGAUCUGUACCCACUAACUUGCUAGAUAAAUAACAGGGACCUUCGAGUAACCCCUUUUUAAAGCAAGCCUAGGCCACCACUGCGUGCUAGGGGACAGCAACUUAGCCUUAGUAAAAUUGCAAAUUUUCACACCAUGUGCAUUGGUUACACAGCAAAGAAAAACGGGUAAUGAGGGUCUUGUAGAAGAGUCGGCAUUGCAUGGCAACGCAGUUCUCCUCUUUGGUCCGUGUUUAUUACUUUGCUUCACUCUGUAUGGAAGCAUGAGAGAUCAUCCAUCCCAUCUUACUGCUGCUCACCCCACCAAUGUUGCUCUCCGCAAAAAGCCACUGGACAUACAGAAGCAAAGGCAGUCAAAAACGUUAGUUGUCCCAACUGGCAAAACACAACAAAAACAAAACCAACCCAUAACAGUACAACUAUUUGCCCUGACAAAAUACUUCAGCCCAUGACUCAAAAAUGUUCAGAUUCUUUUUUAUUUUUUUUUACAUCCUCCUCCCUACCCUUCUAAUUCCCCUCCCUUUGCAAGGUUACAAUUUCCUUAAAUAUAUAUUGCACCAGCAGGCUGGGGGAAUGUGUUCCAGAUAAAACAGAUGAGCAGAAAUAAGUUCUUUUUCAGAAGGAUCAGCUGCUAAAUGCAUUCCAGUAGAGGUGUCAAACAGAUUUUAUGAAGAGAGCUAAUCACAUUUUUAAUUAUGGUCUUCAUGCUGACUUUACAGAGUUAGGGUAAAAAGCUAUUCUUGAUCAAAAGCAGAUAUCCUACUCACAUCAAUGGGUUUAUAAAAAGACUGAGAAUGGAAUUUAGACCAGAUGGAGAAAAUGAAAGAAAAGUUUAUUAACUGUAUCAUUUGGUGGAGAAACAAAUAGUUGUUGAUAUAUCUACAAAUCAGGUACUGACAAAUAUUGAACAAACUGGCUACCAGGAGUGCCACCAUCUUGUUCUAGAGUUAAAUGAGUUGUGGAAGUGUUAGAGCACGUUUUACCUCCUCAAUCGACAGCACAUUUUUUACACUAUUUCCACGCUGGCUGAAUUAGAAGGAUACGGUUCCCUACAUGUAGAUGUUCUCACAGUACAUAAGAAUAUUGCUGAAUACCGUUAGUGAUAAAUGAUAAUGGUAUAGCUUAUCCCUAUUAGAGAAGAUACUUGUGUAUCAUUAUAGCUGCCUAUACACCAGAUCACAGAUAAGGGAAAAAAAAUAAAUCUCUGCAGAAGAAAAUAUUUACCCUUCUAACAAAAACAGUUGGACUUGUAUAAACACCAUGUUCCACAUGGUUAAUUGUGCUUGCUGUUUAAUGGGAUCGUGUCACUUCACAUUUAUACUUUUAAGCUGUUAAACAUACACAUACGCUAAAUUCAAAGCCUGGUGUGAAAUUCUGGUCAACCUGACAUCAGAAAAAGUUUUCUAACAAUCCUCCUGGGACAAAAAGAUAAUAAUAAUAACAAUAAUAAUGAUAGUAAUAAUAAUAAAAGAAAGUCCUAAACCUUAUAAAUUCAAAUUCCAUGUUAAUGAGAAUUAAAUAUGUCCCACACAGUUCUAUGUUUCAGGACAAUUUGUGAAGGAACUUGGGAUUUCCUUGGAGGAAACCAUGGGAAUUUUGCUUUUCCAGCUGUGAUGACAAGGUUCCAACAACAAAAUCUGAAGAGAUCACCCAAGCUAGAAAUGAAGGAUCAGAACUGAGGGCAGCCAGAGGAUUACCCUGCUGUCCUACUAACUAUACUGCUGACUGCUGCUAUAACAUGAG
ensembl:lncRNA